UACGAAGGGAGCUAGCGUUGUUCGGAAUUACUGGGCGUAAAGGGCGCGUAGGCGGUUCGGCAAGACAGAUGUGAAAGCCCUGGGCUCAACCCGGGAAUUGCGUUUGUGACUGCCGUGCUUGAAUUCGGGAGAGGUUGGUGGAAUUCCCAGUGUAGAGGUGAAAUUCGUAGAGAUUGGGAAGAACACCCGUGGCGAAGGCGGCCAACUGGACCGACAUUGACGCUGAGGCGCGAAAGCGUGGGGAGCAAACAGG
rnacentral:rRNA from 1 species